rnacentral:rRNA from 1 species
AUUGCAGGCUGCAACUCGCCUGCAUGAAGUCGGAAUUGCUAGUAAUCGUAGGUCAGCCCAUACUACGGUGAAUACGUUCCCGGGCCUUGUACACACCGCCCGUCACACCAUGGGAGCCGGGAAUGCCCGAAGUCGGUGACCCAACCGUAAGGAGGGAGCCGCCGAAGGCAGGCCUGGUAACUGGGGUGAAGUCGUAACAAGGUAUC